GAUGAACGCUGGCGGCGUGCUUAACACAUGCAAGUCGAACGGAAAGGCCCAAGCUUGCUUGGGUACUCGAGUGGCGAACGGGUGAGUAACACGUGGGUGAUCUGCCCUGCACUUCGGGAUAAGCCUGGGAAACUGGGUCUAAUACCGGAUAGGACCACAUUUUGGAUGGUGUGGUGGAAAGUUUUUCGGUGUGGGAUGAGCUCGCGGCCUAUCAGCUUGUUGGUGGGGUAAUGGCCUACCAAGGCGUCGACGGGUAGCCGGCCUGAGAGGGUGUACGGCCACAUUGGGACUGAGAUAAGGCCCAGACUCCUACGGGGGGCAGCAGGGGGGGAUAUUGCACAAUGGGGGCGAGCCUGAUGCAGCGACGCCGCGGGGGGGAUGACGGACUUCGGGUUGUAAAAUCCUUUCGCUAGGGACGAAGCGUUAUGUGACGGUACCUGGAGAAGAAGCACCGGCUAACUACGUG
rnacentral:rRNA from 1 species